rnacentral:rRNA from 1 species
GAACGCUGGCGGCGUGCCUAAUACAUGCAAGUCGAGCGAACGGACGAGAAGCUUGCUUCUCUGAUGUUAGCGGCGGACGGGUGAGUAACACGUGGAUAACCUACCUAUAAGACUGGGAUAAUUUCGGGAAACCGGAGCUAAUACCGGAUAAUAUUUUGAACCGCAUGGUUCAAAAGUGAAAGACGGUCUUGCUGUCACUUAUAGAUGGAUCCGCGCUGCAUUAGCUAGUUGGUAAGGUAACGGCUUACCAAGGCAACGAUGCAUAGCCGACCUGAGAGGGUGAUCGGCCACACUGGAACUGAGACACGGUCCAGACUCCUACGGGAGGCAGCAGUAGGGAAUCUUCCGCAAUGGGCGAAAGCCUGACGGAGCAACGCCGCGUGAGUGAUGAAGGUCUUCGGAUCGUAAAACUCUGUUAUUAGGGAAGAACAUAUGUGUAAGUAACUGUGCACAUCUUGACGGUACCUAAUCAGAAAGCCACGGCUAACUACGUG